GAGAUUUUCUCCAUUUUCCCCCAAGUCCCUAAUUACUACCUGCUUUAGUGUUCAUUGCACAGCAAUGAAAUUCUCUAUAUUAGUUCCAAUUCCUGAAGCAUUCUGACUUAUUACUUCAAAACAACUGAUUGUUGCUUGCCAGAAGUGGCCCCAUGGUAGGCAUGGUACAUUAUGAAAUAGUCAAGUGACAAAUGUUCAGAGAAUCUCAGAACUGGAACCUUCAAGACCAAAUGGCCCAACACUGGGAAAUACCUAAUCAACCAAGAGAAGUGGCUGUCUUCUCUUCCCUCCACCCUCCAGGAAAUGGUCCCUGGGUUCUCCAUUACUUCCGUGUUUUAUCACCCUGAUGAUUAGAGAGAUCAAAUGAUAUGGUGGAGAUGACAGCUCAAGAGCAAAGCCAAGAUUUGGACCCAGAUCUACAAGACCAAAGACUUGGCUCCCUCCUUCUGUUCUACCAGGCUGAACUUGUAUUCUCUUACAUAUCCACAUACUCUGCUUUCCAAGUAUACAUGCAUGAGAUUUCUCUUUCCCAAGUACAACUCUUAAACAUGGCAUGAAGAACCAAAGGAAGUCCUCCACCACCCAAGGAAAGAUAACAAUGACUUCGUUGUACUGACCAGGAAAGGAGGCUCAUUCUUCGCAUGGGUUUUAAAUUGGAACUCAGCUAUUAAAUCAUGACCUGUCAGGUAAAUAAAGGAAGAAAGGUAAAUAAAAGUCCUUUUCUCAUUUAUUAAUAUUCCUGCACAUGGAUUAGUGUAGUCAGGUUUUUAAUAACAUUUUCACUGACAGUGAAUCUUGAUUUGACUUAAAAGGUCACUUAAUAUUUAUCAUUCCUAGCCACAAGUAUAGGACUCUGAGUACAACAAAAUUCCUUUUUUUUUUUACCUUCCCUACUAAUGUAAAGAACCAGAACUGAAAUCAUCAUCUUUGAAAAUAUGGUUGAAGUCAAAGAUCUACCCGAAAUGCAAAUGUUUAAGUAGUUAUGUCCCCGAUAUUAGCAAUGACCUUGAACACUUUAGCCAAACACAGUAACUGUUCCUUAAAUCAUUAACUUACUUUGGAUUCCUAAUGUAACUGUGUUUGGUGAUUUGGGUAAUAGAAUUUUGUUUUAAGUCACUAUCUUUAUUGGUAUGAUAUACUUAAACUGGAUUAGUUUGGAUGUUAUAGAAAUGAAACAAAACUCUGA
rnacentral:lncRNA from 1 species